UAAGGAAUAUUGCGCAAUGGACGAAAGUCUGACGCAGCAACGCCGCGUGCAGGAAGAAGGCCCUUCGGGUCGUAAACUGCUGUAGCAGGGGAAUAAUGGCACACCACAGGUGUGUUUGAAGGUACCCUGAAAGUAAGCUCCGGCUAACUACGUGCCAGCAGCCGCGGUAAUACGUAGGGAGCAAGCGUUGUCCGGAUUCACUGGGUGUAAAGGGUGCGUAGGCGGGAGAGUAAGUCCGCGGUGAAAUCUCACGGCUCAACCGUGAAACUGCCGUUGAUACUGCUUUUCUUGAGUUCGGGAGAGGUUGAUGGAAUUCCAGGUGUAGCGGUGAAAUGCGUAGAUAUCUGGAAGAACACCAGUGGCGAAGGCGGUCAACUGGCCCGUAACUGACGCUGAGGCACGAAAGCGUGGGGAGCGAACAG
rnacentral:rRNA from 1 species